rnacentral:rRNA from 1 species
UACGUAGGUGGCGAGCGUUAUCCGGAAUUAUUGGGCGUAAAGAGCGCGCAGGUGGUUGAUUAAGUCUGAUGUGAAAGCCCACGGCUUAACCGUGGAGGGUCAUUGGAAACUGGUCGACUUGAGUGCAGAAGAGGGAAGUGGAAUUCCAUGUGUAGCGGUGAAAUGCGUAGAGAUAUGGAGGAACACCAGUGGCGAAGGCGGCUUCCUGGUCUGUAACUGACACUGAGGCGCGAAAGCGUGGGGAGCAAACAGGAUUAGAACCCGGGUAGUCC